rnacentral:tRNA from 1 species
GGUUGUAGCUCAGUGGCAGAGUGCUUUCCUCUUAUGCAUGAGGUCCUAGGUUCAAUCCUUAGCACCG